CUCCCCGUCUGUCCAAUAGUGACUGUUUAUCUGUUACAAUUGUGUCUUCAGACUGCGGUUAAAUUUAAGUUUACUGUAAUUAAGUUACACCAAGUUGAAUGGCUUGAGACAACCUAGCUAGAUGGGUGGCGUCAGUGCCUUUAGGCCCACAAUGUCCUUAAAAAAUAGCACUUAGCUUAGCUUAGCAUGAGCAUAUGCUAGCUUGACCUGGUUUGUGUACAAGAAACAACAUAUAGUGUGUUCAUUAUCUAGCUUAAGAGUUACUGGCAGGGAUAUUUUGCUAGUUUGACCGAGCCAGGCUAGCUGUUUCCCUCUGUUUCCGGUCUUUAUGUUAAGCUAAGUGUCUUAUGGCUUUACCGUCAUACUCAUAAGAGUUAGCCUGAUGGCCCAUUUUCAUCAAACUCUGUGAGAGAAAGCAAAUAAGUGUAUUUUCCAGAUAAUCAAAUGUGUUUAAAUGAGCAAGACUGAUCCACUUGGCUUUAAGAGCUCACUUUUUUUUUACUGUCCCAACAUCCAAAUUAUUUAAGACGGUCUCUAUAUUUUAUGGCGCUCAAGAGAAACCACAAACAGACUAUGAAAAACUUUGCUGCCUCCUGGCCCUCGUCUCAGCCAUCAUCACCAUCAUCAGCCUUCUCAGUACGGGAGGAUCCGUGUGGGCUGACCGGGGGGUUACAGACCUUAAUUCUCCAUCCAAGCCUGAAGGAUGACCUCAUGGGGCUCACAGCUGCCAUCACCAUUCUCGCAGGAGCUAAUAGGAACAGCAUGUAGCCUCUGGAAAGGACUACGUCUCUCCCUCUCUGUUUCCUUCUCUCUGUUUCUGUCCCCACUAUUUGAAUGCUGGAGAGCCAACUAACAUAAUUUAGUCCUCAUUAGAUAUUUAAACUAAUUUUUUUUCCCUCUACUUUUCCCAGAAAUCUCUUUUUCCCUCCCCUCCACCUUAUUUUCUCAAUUUAAAGCAACAUCAUGGAGGAUAGCCUACAAUCAGGAGAAUACUGUUCUGUUGUUUGUUAACAAGUUUUCCCAUAUUGGCAUUAUUAGGUGAUAAUGUUUUUUCACAAGUGACAAUUUCAGUUAAAGUUCUGAUAAAAACAGCACUCUGCAUAAUCUGGUUUGAACAGAUUUGAUAGACUUUUAGCAAACAACCCAACACCUGUUUCACCACUUACUUCAAAAAAGCAAGAUGAUCACAGAGAAGCAAAGAAAAACACAGAUCUGUCGUGUGAAAGAGCCCGAACUGUUCUAACUUUGACUUCUCACAAUGAGAAACUGAUCAUAAGAAUGUGUCUUUGGGGCCAUUAAAACA